rnacentral:rRNA from 1 species
UACGUAGGGGGCAAGCGUUGUUCGGAUUCACUGGGCGUAAAGGGUGCGUAGGUGGCCAGGUAAGUUCGGUGUGAAAGCUCGGAGCUCAACUCCGAAAUGUCAUUGAAUACUAUCUGGCUGGAGGGUCGGAGGGGAGACUGGAAUUCUCGGUGUAGCAGUGAAAUGCGUAGAUAUCGAGAGGAACACCAGUGGCGAAGGCGAGUCUCUGGACGACUCCUGACACUGAGGCACGAAAGCUAGGGGAGCAAACAGG